GACGAACGCUGGCGGCGUGCCUAAUACAUGCAAGUUGAGCGAUGAAGAUUGGUGCUUGCACCAAUUUGAAGAGCAGCGAACGGGUGAGUAACGCGUGGGGAAUCUGCCUUUGAGCGGGGGACAACAUUUGGAAACGAAUGCUAAUACCGCAUAACAACUUUAAACAUAAGUUUUAAGUUUGAAAGAUGCAAUUGCAUCACUCAAAGAUGAUCCCGCGUUGUAUUAGCUAGUUGGUGAGGUAAAGGCUCAACAAGGCGAUGAUACAUAGCCGACCUGAGAGGGUGAUCGGCCACAUUGGGACGGAGACACGGCCCAAACUCCUACGGGAGGCAGCAGUAGGGAAUCUUCGGCAAGGGACGAAAGUCUGACCGAGCAACGCCGCGUGAGUGAAGAAGGUUUUCGGAUCGUAAAACUCUGUUGGUAGAGAAGAACGUUGGUGAGAGUGGAAAGCUCAUCAAGUGACGGUAACUACCCAGAAAGGGACGGCUAACUACGUG
rnacentral:rRNA from 1 species